rnacentral:rRNA from 1 species
UACGAAGGGGGCUAGCGUUGCUCGGAAUUACUGGGCGUAAAGCGCACGUAGGCGGCUUUCUAAGUCGGGGGUGAAAUCCUGGAGCUCAACUCCAGAACUGCCUUCGAUACUGGAGAGCUUGAGUCCGGGAGGAGGUGAGUGGAACUGCGAGUGUAGAGGUGAAAUUCGUAGAAUAUUCGGAAGAACACCAGGUGGCGAAAGGCGGCUGCACUGGCCCGGUACUGACGCC